GAGUUUGAUCGUGGCUCAGGACGAACGCUGGCGGCGUGCUUAACACAUGCAAGUUGAACGAGAAUCUACAGAUCAAGGAUUCGUCCAAGUGAAGUAGAGGACAGUGGCGGACGGGUGAGUAACGCGUGAGGAACCUGCCUUUCAGAGGGGGACAACAGUUGGAAACGACUGCUAAUACCGCAUGACACAUUGGAGUCGCAUGGCCCUGAUGUCAAAGAUUUAUCGCUGAAAGAUGGCCUCGCGUCUGAUUAGCUAGUUGGUGAGGUAACGGCCCACCAAGGCGACGAUCAGUAGCCGGACUGAGAGGUUGACCGGCCACAUUGGGACUGAGAUACGGCCCAGACUCCUACGGGAGGCAGCAGUGGGGAAUAUUGGGCAAUGGGCGCAAGCCUGACCCAGCAACGCCGCGUGAAGGAUGAAGUAUUUCGGUGUGUAAACUUCUAUCAGCAGGGAAGAAAAUGACGGUACCUGACUAAGAAGCCCCGGCUAACUACGUGCCAGCCGCCGC
rnacentral:rRNA from 1 species